GAUAUAUUUAUAUCUUUUUGAUAAUAUUUUGUUAGAAACUAUUUUGUUCAGAUGAGAUACCUUUAAAUUUUAGAAAAUGUAGAAGAAACAAACAAAAAUGAUCAAAGCCUACCCCUUAUUCUUUUGUCUCCCCAUUAUCCUAAUUGAGUGGAAAAUCAGCUCUACUUUUGAGGCCAAGUUUGAGACCCUCUUGUGUAAUAGAUAAACUAUUAGACUCUAAGAGAAACUGCCCACUGUCUCAAGUUGAGAUUAUGGUUGGUGCCCUGUCUCUGACAAGCCCUGUGGCUUCCAUAAAGUGUUAGCCCUUUCCUGGCAGAAACAUGACACUCACCCUGCGGGUCCUUCCUACUGGCUGGGGCACUGAGCGUCCAGCUAGGUUGUUGGUGGCUUGGGAGGGAGGGGGGAGGUUUAAUUAUAAAGAAAUUUGCCCAGCAAACAUUCUUUGAUGAUAGCAGAAUGGAAACCAGCCGUCAGGAAGGCAAAUGGCAUGCUGAUCAAGAGCCAGGUGGCUGCCUCCAGGAGCUAAUUGUUCACUGAAGCCCCGGAAGAAAGGGUCUGAUGUUCUGGCUGGAAGGGAAGAGACAGACAUGGCAGGACUCUGUACCUGGAGAAAGCAAAACUGGAGUGGCGAGCGAGGAAAGGGCAAGAGCCGAGGAGGAAGUCCCUCGUCCUCUGUUGCUUUUAAUUACUUCCUCUACAGGGACUCGAGGAGGCAAGAAGGGCUCCCGGGCAGCAGGCAAAAGGACAGGGACAGCAGAAGAGCACCAAGCGCCAGCCAAAUGCCACUGAGGGAGAGAACAGAGCCCUCAAUAGAAAUGUUGGGAUGGACUAAUUUACUAGAAUGUUUUUCAGUGAAAUGCCUGAAAUUAAAAUGACAUAACCCUGGCCCAAAGGAGAGGGGACUGUGGUGGGAAGAGCUUGGAAGACCUGGGUUUCAGUCCCAACUUCAGCGUUUAACAACUGUGGGAGAGGAGGAUGAAUGGCUUAAGACAACUCAGCUUCCUCAUCUGCAAAAUGGUGAGAAUAACAACUUCUCAGAGGUUUCUUAUGAAGUUUGCCGUGAUGUGUGCAAAGGGCCUGGGGACAUUCCUGCCACAGAGUUGAGUGUCCAAUAAAGAGCAGUUUGCUGUCAUCUUCUUUGGAGAUGGAAAUGGAGACCGUGAAGGCAACUUCAUGGCUUUGUGGCUUCCCCUGAAGGGAAGAGAUAGGGGUUGUGCGAUGUGGGUCGAUCUGUGUUUGUGAGGUUGGAAUCUGGGGGGUCCACGUUCAGACAGGCCACUCAGUUGUUCUGCCCAGGUGUUGGGGGACUGACGGGUAAGGUACAGGAUGCAGCCCGCGUGGUCAUCACUGGCCACCAGCAGGGAGCCUGUGGAAGCACACAGCCCUCCCGCCACCUCGUGGACAAGCGGGAAGGGAGGUGGAAGGCUGAACCCCCACAGGCAGGCCAGCAAAACGGGCCCGGGAGAAGCGGGUGCCCUGGCCUAAACCUCACAAGAGUUGGUUGCCAAAAAUGCAAAAGAGAGAUGGAGAAGAUAGUAAAAAAGGAAGAGUCCAGGAGAAAGAUCAGUGUCUGGAUCUUUCUAGAUGUGGGACAGAAAAGGAGUGUGGGAAGAGGCAUGUGGGUAGGGUGAAAGCGGCGACUUGCGCUCUUUCGUGUUUUGAAAGGUGGUUUCUGGGCUGAGGGAGUGAGGGCUGCAGAGGUCUGUGGAAACCUCACUGUGACGUCCCCGGAAGAAUUCAGGAGGCGGCUUGAGGAGGAGGCCACGGGUGAGUGCCAGGUGCUGCCUUCAACACACAGUGGGAACAGCUUGGUGAGACCCAAGGACACCAGAUCUGAGCUCUAGUUUUCCCUGGUCUUUAACUAGCUCAGGGACCACCCCUCUUCCCAAGUCAUUUCAUCCCUCUGAGCUUCACCCUUCUGGCUACCAGGGAAGGAAUGGAACCAGAAGAUCGAUUCUGAACCUUCUAAGAAGACACGACCCUUUUUGAACAACGUCAGAAGCUUCUGCUCACCUCCCUCAAUCUGGGCACACGGUCUUCUUCAGCAACUCCUGGCCCUGGUGGAGAAACCCCAGCUAGAUAGUCACCCAGCUCUUUGUGAGGCUGAUGUUUGCUCAUGCUGUGAUGGAGAAGGGCAAGAUGUGUUCCUGGGACUGUAGCAAGAGAAAUGCCUAACAUGAUUGGCCUGUGGCUCUCCCCAUGUACAAUUUGCCCUUAUCGUGAUAAGGUUAUACAUAGUCAUAAACUAUAAAAUUAAAGUCUGUAUGAACUAUAAUAAAUACCUGUAGCUAAAAAAGUAGGUUCACAUGUAAACAAACAAACAAACAAACAAAAGAUGGAUUAGAAAGAGAGAUGCAAAGGGACUCUGCACAGGCUCUGAUGUGGCUGCUUCUCUGGAAGAAACUAAUGGCCAAAGUCCAAGUCAGGGUGGGAACAGCCAAGCUGGUGUCUCCCCUCAAAACUCAGCCCCUGAGCUGCAGGAAGGAAGGCAGCCUGGGAGCCUGGGGCAAGAGACACCCCUUGACAAGUGGCUCGUUCCACAGGGAGACUCUGGGGAAGCUCCCUGCUACCCUCCAGCUCCAAGGAUGUGAGACUUUAGAAGCUCUGCCUCCAGGAACACCUGAAUAUUCCCCAUCAGUAUUGUUUCCAGACGCUUUCAAUGAGAGACCCGAAUGAUCUGUGACGAGCCCCUCUGCCUUUCAGCUGGCAGUGCUUUUAGCCUCAGCCUUGUCUUACUCAAACUUCCUUUGAACAUCCCUGCCCAUUUCCCCCUUCAUCCUACUAUGUAUACGAAGCUCCAUAAAUUCUUCUCAAAUGAGGGUUAAAGUGUAAAGAGGUAAAGCUGCUUAAUGGUUAAAAAACAAAACAAAACAGAUUCUGGAGCUGUACCACCUCACUUCAGAUAUAAGCUUAAUAGCUGUGUGUCCUUGGUAAGCUACUUACCCUCUCUGUGCCUCAUUGCUUCACCUAUAAAAUGUAGUUAAUAAUCUAUUCAACUUCAUAGGAUUGUGAGAUAUGAGUGAGUUAAUAAAGUGCUUAGAAGAGUGUCUGGCACAGAGCAAGCACUUCACGGUAUUGGCUGUGAUUAUUUUCCAAAAUUUCUCACAUUUUUUCCUCUAAAUUAGUUCCUUCCUCAGUAUUUUUAUUUUUUGGGAAAAAGGAAAAGCCAUAGGCACACAAUAAAGCAGCUAUAGAGUCAGUAGUAACAAAAUUGAAGAAUUUCUACCCUCUGUCUUUCCUCUUACUCUUCUCCUAAUUUGGAAAGGAUGAUUCGUCAUUAUUUUCUAUGAAUCCAUCACCUGUAAUUAAUUGAUUUUUUUUUUCAAAAAGGACUAUUAGUGAACUUAAUAAUGCAAGCAGGACUGGGGAGAAGACUUGGAGGAAGAUGGAUUUGCCUCUCGUCCAGGUCUCUGUCUCCCUCCCGAGGUACCUUUACUGCUAGAGGGAACGGAGCACCACAGAUAUUUUCCUUUGAAUUUUCAAGUUCGGGUAUAAAUUUGAAGCUAAUGUUCAGAUUUAGUUUUGAAAUUAAUCUAUUAAAAUCUGAUGGGGGAGUUCCCGCUGUGGCACAGGGGAAAGGAAUCUGACUAGGAACCAUGAGGUUGCAGGUUCGAUCCCGCCUUGCUUGGUGGGUUAAGAAUCUGGCGUUGCUGUGGCUGUGGCGUAGGCUGGUGGCUACAGCUCCGAUUCAACCCCUAGCCUGGGAACCUCCAUAUGCCACAAGUGUGGCCCUAU
rnacentral:lncRNA from 1 species